rnacentral:tRNA from 1 species
UCCCUCGUGGUCUAGUGGUUAGGACUCCAUACUUCCACAUGGGGGCCCAGGUUCGAUCCCUGGUCCGGGAA